UACGUAGGCAGCAAGCGUUGUUCGGAUUUACUGGGCGUAAAGAGUACGUAGGCGGUUUGCUAAGUCUGGUGUGAAAUCUCCUGGCUUAACUGGGAGGGUGCGCUAGAUACUGGCAGGCUUGAGUAUGGGAGAGGAGAGUGGAAUUCCUGGUGUAGCGGUGAAAUGCGUAGAUAUCAGGAGGAACGCCGGUGGUGUAGACGGCUCUCUGGACCAUUACUGACGCUGAGGUACGAAAGCGUGGGUAGCAAACAGG
rnacentral:rRNA from 1 species